AGUGAUGAUGGAGUCGCGACCUGACUGGUGAUGUAGCUGAGCACUCUGAUA
rnacentral:misc_RNA from 1 species